GUGCUUGCUUUGGCAGCACAUAUACUAAAAAAUUGGAAUGAUACAGAGAAGAUUAGCGUGGCCCCUGCACAAGGAUGACACGCAAAUUCAUGAAGCAUUCCAUAUUUUA
rnacentral:snRNA from 1 species